CCGGCUUACCAACCCGAUGCAAACUGCGAAUACCGGAGAAUGUUAUCACGGGAGACACACGGCGGGUGCUAACGUCCGUCGUGAAGAGGGAAACAACCCAGACCGCCAGCUAAGGUCCCAAAGUCAUGGUUAAGUGGGAAACGAUGUGGGAAGGCCCAGACAGCCAGGAUGUUGGCUUAGAAGCAGCCAUCAUUUAAAGAAAGCGUAAUAGCUCACUGGUCGAGUCGGCCUGCGCGGAAGAUGUAACGGGGCUAAACCAUGCACCGAAGCUGCGGCAGCGACACUGUGUGUUGUUGGGUAGGGGAGCGUUCUGUAAGCCUGUGAAGGUGUGUCGUGAGGCAUGCUGGAGGUAUCAGAAGUGCGAAUGCUGACAUAAGUAACGAUAAAGCGGGUGAAAAGCCCGCUCGCCGGAAGACCAAGGGUUCCUGUCCAACGUUAAUCGGGGCAGGGUGAGUCGACCCCUAAGGCGAGGCCGAAAGGCGUAGUCGAUGGGAAACGGGUUAAUAUUCCCGUACUUGGUGUUACUGCGAAGGGGGGACGGAGAAGGCUAUGUUGGCCGGGCGACGGUUGUCCCGGUUUAAGCGUGUAGGUGUGUGUUCCAGGUAAAUCCGGUUCACUUUAACACUGAGGCGUGACGACGAGGCACUACGGUGCUGAAGCAACAAAUGCCCUGCUUCCAGGAAAAGCCUCUAAGCAUCAGGUAACAUCAAAUCGUACCCCAAACCGACACAGGUGGUCAGGUAGAGAAUACCAAGGCGCUUGAGAGAACUCGGGUGAAGGAACUAGGCAAAAUGGUGCCGUAACUUCGGGAGAAGGCACGCUGACACGUAGGUGAAGUGAUUUACUCAUGGAGCUGAAGUCAGUCGAAGAUACCAGCUGGCUGCAAC
rnacentral:rRNA from 1 species